rnacentral:tRNA from 1 species
GCUGGCGUGCCCAAGCGGUUAAGGGGAUCGGCUGCAACCCGAUUAUUCCCAGGUUCGAAUCCUGGCGCCAGCU